rnacentral:rRNA from 1 species
ACAGCAGUAGCCGCGGUAAUACAGAGGUCUCAAGCGUUGUUCGGAUUCAUUGGGCGUAAAGGGUGCGUAGGUGGCGGUGUAAGUCUAACGUGAAAUCUCGGGGCUCAACCCCGAAAUUGCGUCGGAUACUGCAUUGCUAGAGGAUUAUAGAGGAGAGUGGAAUUCAUGGUGUAGCAGUGAAAUGCGUAGAUAUCAUGAGGAAGACCAGUUGCGAAGGCGACUCUCUGGGCAAUUCCUGACACUGAGGCACGAAGGCUAGGGGAGCAAACGGGAUUAGAUACCCCGGUAGUCCCUGUCUCUUAUAC